GGUUAAGCGACUAAGCGUACACGGUGGAUGCCCUGGCAGUCAGAGGCGAUGAAGGACGUGCUAAUCUGCGAUAAGCGUCGGUAAGGUGAUAUGAACCGUUAUAACCGGCGAUUUCCGAAUGGGGAAACCCAGUGUGUUUCGACACACUAUCAUUAACUGAAUCCAUAGGUUAAUGAGGCGAACCGGGGGAACUGAAACAUCUAAGUACCCCGAGGAAAAGAAAUCAACCGAGAUUCCCCCAGUAGCGGCGAGCGAACGGGGAGGAGCCCAGAGCCUGAAUCAGUGUGUGUGUUAGUGGAAGCGUCUGGAAAGGCGCGCGAUACAGGGUGACAGCCCCGUACACAAAAAUGCACAUACUGUGAGCUCGAUGAGUAGGGCGGGACACGUGGUAUCCUGUCUGAAUAUGGGGGGACCAUCCUCCAAGGCUAAAUACUCCUGACUGACCGAUAGUGAACCAGUACCGUGAGGGAAAGGCGAAAAGAACCCCGGCGAGGGGAGUGAAAAAGAACCUGAAACCGUGUACGUACAAGCAGUGGGAGCACGCUUAGGCGUGUGACUGCGUACCUUUUGUAUAAUGGGUCAGCGACUUAUAUUCUGUAGCAAGGUUAACCGAAUAGGGGAGCCGAAGGGAAACCGAGUCUUAACUGGGCGUUAAGUUGCAGGGUAUAGACCCGAAACCCGGUGAUCUAGCCAUGGGCAGGUUGAAGGUUGGGUAACACUAACUGGAGGACCGAACCGACUAAUGUUGAAAAAUUAGCGGAUGACUUGUGGCUGGGGGUGAAAGGCCAAUCAAACCGGGAGAUAGCUGGUUCUCCCCGAAAGCUAUUUAGGUAGCGCCUCGUGAAUUCAUCUCCGGGGGUAGAGCACUGUUUCGGCAAGGGGGUCAUCCCGACUUACCAACCCGAUGCAAACUGCGAAUACCGGAGAAUGUUAUCACGGGAGACACACGGCGGGUGCUAACGUCCGUCGUGAAGAGGGAAACAACCCAGACCGCCAGCUAAGGUCCCAAAGUCAUGGUUAAGUGGGAAACGAUGUGGGAAGGCCCAGACAGCCAGGAUGUUGGCUUAGAAGCAGCCAUCAUUUAAAGAAAGCGUAAUAGCUCACUGGUCGAGUCGGCCUGCGCGGAAGAUGUAACGGGGCUAAACCAUGCACCGAAGCUGCGGCAGCGACGCUGAUGCGUUGUUGGGUAGGGGAGCGUUCUGUAAGCCUGCGAAGGUGUGCUGUGAGGCAUGCUGGAGGUAUCAGAAGUGCGAAUGCUGACAUAAGUAACGAUAAAGCGGGUGAAAAGCCCGCUCGCCGGAAGACCAAGGGUUCCUGUCCAACGUUAAUCGGGGCAGGGUGAGUCGACCCCUAAGGCGAGGCCGAAAGGCGUAGUCGAUGGGAAACAGGUUAAUAUUCCUGUACUUGGUGUUACUGCGAAGGGGGGACGGAGAAGGCUAUGUUGGCCGGGCGACGGUUGUCCCGGUUUAAGCGUGUAGGCUGGUUUUCCAGGCAAAUCCGGAAAAUCAAGGCUGAGGCGUGAUGACGAGGCACUACGGUGCUGAAGCAACAAAUGCCCUGCUUCCAGGAAAAGCCUCUAAGCAUCAGGUAACAUCAAAUCGUACCCCAAACCGACACAGGUGGUCAGGUAGAGAAUACCAAGGCGCUUGAGAGAACUCGGGUGAAGGAACUAGGCAAAAUGGUGCCGUAACUUCGGGAGAAGGCACGCUGAUAUGUAGGUGAAGCGACUUGCUCGUGGAGCUGAAAUCAGUCGAAGAUACCAGCUGGCUGCAACUGUUUAUUAAAAACACAGCACUGUGCAAACACGAAAGUGGACGUAUACGGUGUGACGCCUGCCCGGUGCCGGAAGGUUAAUUGAUGGGGUUAGCGCAAGGGAAGCUCUUGAUCGAAGCCCCGGUAAACGGCGGCCGUAACUAUAACGGUCCUAAGGUAGCGAAAUUCCUUGUCGGGUAAGUUCCGACCUGCACGAAUGGCGUAAUGAUGGCCAGGCUGUCUCCACCCGAGACUCAGUGAAAUUGAACUCGCUGUGAAGAUGCAGUGUACCCGCGGCAAGACGGAAAGACCCCGUGAACCUUUACUAUAGCUUGACACUGAACAUUGAGCCUUGAUGUGUAGGAUAGGUGGGAGGCUUUGAAGUGUGGACGCCAGUCUGCGUGGAGCCGACCUUGAAAUACCACCCUUUAAUGUUUGAUGUUCUAACGUUGACCCGUUAUCGGGGUUGCGGACAGUGUCUGGUGGGUAGUUUGACUGGGGCGGUCUCCUCCUAAAGAGUAACGGAGGAGCACGAAGGUUGGCUAAUCCUGGUCGGACAUCAGGAGGUUAGUGCAAUGGCAUAAGCCAGCUUGACUGCGAGCGUGACGGCGCGAGCAGGUGCGAAAGCAGGUCAUAGUGAUCCGGUGGUUCUGAAUGGAAGGGCCAUCGCUCAACGGAUAAAAGGUACUCCGGGGAUAACAGGCUGAUACCGCCCAAGAGUUCAUAUCGACGGCGGUGUUUGGCACCUCGAUGUCGGCUCAUCACAUCCUGGGGCUGAAGUAGGUCCCAAGGGUAUGGCUGUUCGCCAUUUAAAGUGGUACGCGAGCUGGGUUUAGAACGUCGUGAGACAGUUCGGUCCCUAUCUGCCGUGGGCGCUGGAGAAUUGAGGGGGGCUGCUCCUAGUACGAGAGGACCGGAGUGGACGCAUCACUGGUGUUCGGGUUGUCAUGCCAAUGGCACUGCCCGGUAGCUAAAUGCGGAAGAGAUAAGUGCUGAAAGCAUCUAAGCACGAAACUUGCCCCGAGAUGAGUUCUCCCUGAGACUUUAAGAGUCCUGAAGGAACGUUGAAGACGACGACGUUGAUAGGCCGGGUGUGUAAGCGCAGCGAUGCGUUGAGCUAACCGGUACUAAUGAACCGUGAGGCUUAACCUU
rnacentral:rRNA from 1 species